rnacentral:rRNA from 1 species
AGAGUUUGAUCCUGGCUCAGGACGAACGCUGGCGGCGUGCUUAACACAUGCAAGUCGAACGGUAAGGCCCUUCGGGGUACACGAGUGGCGAACGGGUGAGUAACACGUGGGUGAACUGCCCUGCACUUCGGGAUAAGCCUGGGAAACUGGGUCUAAUACCGGAUAUGACCAUGCGCUUCACGGUGUGUGGUGGAAAGCUUUUGCGGUGUGGGAUGGGCCCGCGGCCUAUCAGCUUGUUGGUGGGGUAAUGGCCUACCAAGGCGACGACGGGUAGCCGGCCUGAGAGGGUGUCCGGCCACACUGGGACUGAGAUACGGCCCAGACUCCUACGGGAGGCAGCAGUGGGGAAUAUUGCACAAUGGGCGCAAGCCUGAUGCAGCGACGCCGCGUGGGGGAUGACGGCCUUCGGGUUGUAAACCUCUUUCAAUAGGGACGAAGCGCAAGUGACGGUACCUAUAGAAGAAGCACCGGCCAACUACGUGCCAGCAGCCGCGGUAAUACGUAGGGUGCGAGCGUUGUCCGGAAUUACUGGGCGUAAAGAGCUCGUAGGUGGUUUGUCGCGUUGUCCGUGAAAUUUCACAACUCAAUUGUGAGCGUGCGGGCGAUACGGGCAGACUGGAGUACUGCAGGGGAGACUGGAAUUCCUGGUGUAGCGGUGGAAUGCGCAGAUAUCAGGAGGAACACCGGUGGCGAAGGCGGGUCUCUGGGCAGUAACUGACGCUGAGGAGCGAAAGCGUGGGGAGCGAACAGGAUUAGAUACCCUGGUAGUCCACGCCGUAAACGGUGGGUACUAGGUGUGGGUUUCCUUCCUUGGGAUCCGUGCCGUAGCUAACGCAUUAAGUACCCCGCCUGGGGAGUACGGCCGCAAGGCUAAAACUCAAAGAAAUUGACGGGGGCCCGCACAAGCGGCGGAGCAUGUGGAUUAAUUCGAUGCAACGCGAAGAACCUUACCUGGGUUUGACAUGCACAGGACGCCGGCAGAGAUGUCGGUUCCCUUGUGGCCUGUGUGCAGGUGGUGCAUGGCUGUCGUCAGCUCGUGUCGUGAGAUGUUGGGUUAAGUCCCGCAACGAGCGCAACCCUUGUCUCAUGUUGCCAGCACGUAAUGGUGGGGACUCGUGAGAGACUGCCGGGGUCAACUCGGAGGAAGGUGGGGAUGACGUCAAGUCAUCAUGCCCCUUAUGUCCAGGGCUUCACACAUGCUACAAUGGCCGGUACAAAGGGCUGCGAAGCCGCGAGGUGGAGCGAAUCCUUGUAAAGCCGGUCUCAGUUCGGAUCGGGGUCUGCAACUCGACCCCGUGAAGUCGGAGUCGCUAGUAAUCGCAGAUCAGCAACGCUGCGGUGAAUACGUUCCCCGGGCCUUGUACACACCGCCCGUCACGUCAUGAAAGUCGGUAACACCCGAAGCCCGUGGCCUAACCCGUAAGGGAGGGAGCGGUCGAAGGUGGGAUCGGCGAUUGGGACGAAGUCGUAACAAGGUAGCCGUACCGGAAGGUGCGGCUGGAUCACCUCCUUU